rnacentral:rRNA from 1 species
GGAGAGGAGAGUGGAAUUCCUAGUGUAGCGGUGAAAUGCGUAGAUAUUAGGAGGAACACCAGUUGCGAAGGCGGCUCGCUGGACUGUAACUGACGCUGAGGCACGAAAGCGUGGGGAGCAAACAGGAGUAGAUACCCUGGUAGUCCACGCUGUAAACGAUGAGUACUAGGUGUCGGGGGUUACCCCCUUCGGUGCCGCAGCUAACGCAUUAAGUACUCCGCCUGGGAAGUACGCUCGCAAGAGUGAAACGCAAAGGAAUUGACGGGGACCCGCACAAGUAGCGGAGCAUGUGGUUUAAUUCGAAGCAACGCGAAG